rnacentral:rRNA from 1 species
CCUACGGGAGGCAGCAGUGAGGAAUAUUGGUCAAUGGACGAGAGUCUGAACCAGCCAAGUAGCGUGAAGGAUGACUGCCCUAUGGGUUGUAAACCUCUUUUAUAUGGGAAUAAAACGUUCCACGUGUGGGAUUUUGUAUGUACCAUAUGAAUAAGGAUCGGCUAACUCCGUGCCAGCAGCCGCGGUAAUACGGAGGAUCCGAGCGUUAUCCGGAUUUAUUGGGUUUAAAGGGGGCGUAGGUGGAUUGUUAAGUCAGUUGUGAAAGUUUGCGGCUCAACCCUAAAAUUGCAGUUGAAACUGGCAGUCUUGAGUACAGUAGAGGUGGGCGGAAUUCGUGGUGUAGCGGUGAAAUGCUUAGAUAUCACGAAGAACUCCGAUUGCGAAGGCAGUUCACUGGACUGCAACUGACACUGAGGCUCGAAAGUGUGGGUAUCAAACAGGAUUAGAUACCCGGGUAGUC